UGCCAGCCGCCGCGGUAAGACGGAAGGGGCAAGCGUUAUCCGGAAUUACUGGGCGUAAAGCGUCCGCAGGUUGUCUAUUAAGCAAAAUAUUAAAUACCGGUGCUCAACAUCGGUGCUGUAUUCUGAACUGGUAGACUAGAGGAAUGGAGAGGUGUGUAGAAUUGUGCAAGUAGGGGUUAAAUCCGUAGAUAUGCAUAGGAAUACCAAAAGCGAAGGCAGCACACUGGACAUUUCCUGACACUCAGGGACGAAAGCGUGGGGAGCGAAACGGAUUAGAUA
rnacentral:rRNA from 1 species